rnacentral:tRNA from 1 species
GAGCUGCUAGUUCAACAAAGACGACUGAUUUCGGCUCAGUAAAUUAUGGUUUAAAUCCAUAGCGCCUCU